GAUGAACGCUGGCGGCGUGCCUAACACAUGCAAGUCGAGCGAUUCUCUUCGGAGAAGAGCGGCGGACGGGUGAGUAACGCGUGGGUAACCUGCCCUGUACACACGAAUAACAUACCGAAAGGUAUGCUAAUACGAGAUAAUAUACUUUUAUCGCAUGGUAGAAGUAUCAAAGCUCCGGCGGUACAGGAUGGACCCGCGUCUGACUAGCUAGUUGGUAAGGUAACGGCUUACCAAGGCGACGAUCAGUAGCCGACCUGAGAGGGUGAUCGGCCACAUUGGAACUGAGACACGGUCCAAACUCCUACGGGAGGCAGCAGUGGGGAAUAUUGCACAAUGGGCGAAAGCCUGAUGCAGCAACGCCGCGUGAGCGAUGAAGGCCUUCGGGUCGUAAAGCUCUGUCCUCAAGGAAGAUAAUGACGGUACUUGAGGAGGAAGCCCCGGCUAACUACGUGCCAGCCGCCGCUGUAAUAC
rnacentral:rRNA from 1 species